GUUAAUGUAGCUUAAAUACAAAGCAAGGCACUGAAAAUGCCUAGAUGAACCGUUUGGUUCCAUAAACA
rnacentral:tRNA from 2 species